CAGCAGCCGCGGGAAAACGGAGGGUGCAAGCGUUAAUCGGAAUUACUGGGCGUAAAGCGUGCGCAGGCGGUUAUAUAAGACAGAUGUGAAAUCCCCGGGCUCAACCUGGGAACUGCAUUUGUGACUGUAUAGCUAGAGUACGGCAGAGGGGGAUGGAAUUCCGCGUGUAGCAGUGAAAUGCGUAGAUAUGCGGAGGAACACCGAUGGCGAAGGCAAUCCCCUGGGCCUGUACUGACGCUCAUGCACGAAAGCGUGGGGAGCAAACAGGAUUAGAUACCCGUGUAGUCCCUGUCUCUUAUAC
rnacentral:rRNA from 1 species